AUCAAGGACGUACAUGAUUUUCUCCGCUAUGAGAAUAAUUCUCAAAUUACGGAGCCAAUCCGUAUAAUUUGGACCAGUGAGGCGGUUGACAUCAAGUAUACCACGUAAGGGAUUUGAAAGCGACAUUUUCCGAAAAUAAAGAUGCAGCAAAAAUGAAUAACAUGCAGAUUUUGCAAGAAAUAAACUAUCAAGAUAUGGACUUCUAUCUUAAUAUGCUCCCACUAUUUUACUAACGAGUCACGCGACACCCUCAGCACGUGAAACGGAAGUCUCCGGCAGACUUCUAGUGGGGAUCAGGAUCCAAUCAGCGUCUUAGUAUAACCUCGAGGGACUC
rnacentral:lncRNA from 1 species